CUCUACCUUCCUCCUCCUCCUUCUCCUCCUCUUCCCCCUCCGCUCUGGAAACGUGACCUAGGGAGGUUAUAGAACAGGGUGGAUCAUACCAUCGCAGAACCCGAGGCGGCGGAGGGGGGGGGGCGCACGCUGCUUUUCUCUAGUUUGCGUUGGUUUGAUCCGUAGAAAGCUGGUUGGAAUUGUCGAAGCGCUGCCUUUCUUCUUGCAAGACUCCAGUAGAAAGACUGCAAGUUUAUUCUUGGCAUCUGAGAAGCAGUGAGGUCAAACCUUCCACAUCAAUCCCUGAAGGAAGAUCCCAGCCUUAAGCUCUUAAGGAAGAGGAAUGAUGGAUAAACUAUUUCUACUCAGCAAUCUGUUUGCCCAGCUAGGUCAACCUGAGCCGGAUCUUCGCCCUGUUGUGCUGAUGGCUGGCUGUGUCUUCUUUUCCUCUCUUCUUCUUCUUCUCCUCCUCUCCGGCCGUGGAAAGC